rnacentral:rRNA from 1 species
GGGGGAUAACUCCGGGAAACCGGAGCUAAUACCGCAUAAGACUACAUCUCCGCAUGGAGAAGGGGUCAAAGCUCCGCAAGGGGCUCUUGAGGAGGAGUUCACGGCCUAUCAGCUAGUUGGUGAGGUAACGGCUUACCAAGGCUACGACGGGUAGUCGGUCUGAAAGGACGACCGACCACAAUGGCACUGAGACACGGGCCAUACUCCUACGGGAGGCAGCAGUGGGGAAUUUUGCGCAAUGGGGGAAACCCUGACGCAGCGAUGCCGCGUGGAGGACGAAGGUCUUCGGAUUGUAAACUCCUUUUGCUAGGGACAAAACGUCACGUGAAGAGCGUGGCUGGAUGGUACCUGGCGAAUAAGCCACGGCUAACUUCGUGCCAGCAGCCCGCGGUAAGACGAAGGUGGCGAGCGUUACUCGGAAUUACUAGGCGUAAAGCGUGGGUAGGUGGUUCGGUCAGUCUGUUGUGAAAGCUCCCGGCUCAACUGGGAGAGGCCAAUGG